rnacentral:lncRNA from 1 species
GAUGGAUUUUUAAGUUAGUACUUUGGGAGGACUUGUAAGACCCCUGCUUCUCAGGUGGAGUAAGGGCAAAGAGGACUUUGCCUUUGCUGCAGGGAUGGCUCAUUUGCUUGCAAGAGGCAACAGAAGAGCCUUAGAGAUGCUGGAAGUGAGAGAGAUGUUGGAGGCCACAGUUACAGCAGCUAAAUCCCACAAAGCAUGCUGGAGAAGAACAGGAUAUUCUGGUGGCUACUGUUUUGUGCAUGUCAUGAAGCAGAGGGGCUGGUGAGUGCAGUAAUCUGAGUGCCUGGCUCUGAAAAGAGGGCAACAUCUUUAUGGAAUAUGCAUAUUUAUCUGUUCUUCAGGGUUGUUGUUUUUUUUUUUUUUUCCUUCUUCUUUUUUUUUUUUCUUUUUUUCUUUGAGCUUCACAGAGGUAAAGAUGAUACAAGGUGCACUUCAUGUAGAA